rnacentral:rRNA from 1 species
GACGAACGCUGGCGGCGUGCUUAACACAUGCAAGUCGAACGGUAAGGCCCUCCGGGGUACACGAGCGGCGAACGCGAGCGUAACACGUGGGCGAUCUGCCCUGCACUUCGGGAUAAGCAUGGGAACCUGGAUCUAAUACCGAAUACGAACAGUGGCUGCAUGGGUGUGGUGGGGAGGUUAUGCGGUGUGGGAUGGGCCCGCGGCCUAUCAGCUUGUUGGUGGGGUGGUGGCCUACCAAGGCGAUGACGGGUAGCCGGCCUGAGAGGGUGACCGGCCACACUGGGACUGAGAUACGGCCCAGACUCCUACGGGAGGCAGCAGUGGGGAAUAUUGCACAAUGGGCGGAAGCCUGAUGCAGCGACGCCGCGUGAGGGAUGACGGCCUUCGGGUUGUAAACCUCUUUCAGCACCGACGAAGCGCAAGUGACGGUAGGGGCAGAAGAAGGACCGGCCAACUACGUGCCAGCAGCCGCGGUAA